rnacentral:lncRNA from 1 species
AUUGAGAUGAGAUCACAGACUACAAUACAUCAUAUAGCCAGCCACUGGAUUAUGUCUGGCGAUCUAAUGACAUCUGAAGCCACUACAUCCAACCCAGGUAGAGGUAGCAAACUGCGUAUUCCUUUCAUGCUGUAUGCAGAAUGAAGAAGAAAUACCUAUUUCCAUUGCCUAGUGAAUUCCCAUUAGUAUUUCUUCUUUCACUGGAUUAUGUUGUAUGCAGAAUGAAGAAGAAAUACCUAUUUUCAUUGCCUAGUGAAUUCCCAUUAGUAUUUCUUCUUUCACUGGAUUAUGUUGUAUGCAGAAUGAAGAAGAAAUACCUAUUUUCAUUGCCUAGUGAAUUCCCAUUAGUAUUUCUUCUUUCACUGGAUUAUGUUGUAUGCAGAAUGAAGAAGAAAUACCUAUUUUCAUUGCCUAGUGAAUUCCCAUUAGUAUUUCUUCUUUCACUGGAUUAUGUUGUAUGAGAAAAAUAAUUGUUGCUCGCUCAUAUUUCACGUCUAAGACAUAAGAUAGGCUUGACGUGAG